rnacentral:lncRNA from 1 species
UGUAUUCUAUCUCCCUAAACUUAUCACUAAGCUGAAUUCUGAUGUAACGACAGUAUAGUUCCAUUUGGCAGUUGACACAGCUUCACUUCACUUGUGAAGUUGUUUUUAGGGCUUUAGCUCCAUAAACAACUCUGUCGACAACAGAGCUGGAGUUGAACCUGCUUUUAGUAAAGUGUUUAAUAAAGUAGCUCCUCAGGUUGGGCAAAACACCUCCUAAACCCUAAACCGACUAUAUAAUACAUUUUUGUUUUCUUUUUUCUCUAUUCUUUCUCAUUCCCUCUCCCCACGACCUCUCUUUCCUCCUUCCUCACGCAUCUCACCAACACGAGCGUGCCCACCGAAGCCCACAUGCCCCGAGCGUCGCACCUCGAUCGGUGGCUAUAUAUGCCCGGGCCUCAUGCUCCGAUUGUAGCAUGUUUAUAUCACCUUUGUUAUAUUUUCUUGUCGACACGGUAGAACAUUACGCGUAGUGUAACCAUCUAUAUGAUGCCAAAUACACAUGGUAAACAUGCGCGACACAGGUGACAGCUCUUGCAAUAGUAGCAAGCUAUAAGCUAAAUCACUUGGGGCUCCUCCGGCCACACAUAUAUACUACUAGGUACCACGUGUCGACAGUGAUGCCGGUUGACCUUCCACUACAAUAACAUGAGGAACGGAUGUCCAAUAAUCCUUCACUCACAGUCACAGG